CGCCUCAGGUAUUUUAGUUAGAAUGUAUCCACUUUCAUUUCUUUCUUUUUCCGACUCGGGUUUAAGUUCAUUUUAAGAGCUACUAAAAAAAACGAAUAAAAAAUGAAAUAAAAAAAAUCCUGUUAAACUUGCGAAGAGCCCAGGAUAUAUUUUCUGGUGGCUUAUCCAUUUUCACAAAGGGGAAAUGUGGGUUUAACCCAAAAAAAAAAAAAAAAAAAAAAAAAGAGAGAAUAUUGAUAUAGAGAGCUGGAAUCCCUCUAUUGCCUUUUCUACCAACAACUUACAAAGAAUAUCGAAAAGAACUGAUGUCGUCUGAUUGUCGUUCGUUUCAGGACACACAGAUUUGUGACUCGGAUGCUAGCUGUGCCAGUCUGACGGGACGCGUUGUGGAGAAGGAGAACAGGCCAGGAUGUAAUCAUGAUACGGGAGCUGCUUGCGUUUUGCAAAAAUAGCAAUAAUACUAGUACUGAGGCCAGCUAGUUAGCAUGGCUGCUAAUAGCGCUGCUGAUGACGAAAAAAGACGAGAUUUUCUGUUACUGCCGUAUUGAAGGGUAUCCACCUUCGUUGCUUCUUCCCCAGCAAUUUGGAAAAAUGAGCUCUAACCAAGAAAAGGGGCCUGGCGAAGAUCGUUUUCUGUACUCCGUUCCGUGGCCUAGGACGGUCCAUCCAUUCCAAUUUUAUUACCUGCCCUGGUACGGAGUAGCUCUGUUCAUAUUAAUAUGCGGCGGACCUCCCAGCGUCUCGCCUGGGCUUCCUUGGGUUUUAUUUUUUUCCCUUUUCAUUCUUUUUUUCCUUCAUCCCUUCUCCUCCUCUCCAGGCGCUAAGGCCGUUGCUCUCCUCAUCCCUAUCUCUCUCUCUCUCUCUCUCUCUCUCUCUCUCUCCGCCCUUUGGCUGUUAAACCCACAAUCUUUAAUAACGCUGCUUAAAAUCGACUUCCAUUUAUCUUACUGCCUUGCCUCGGUUUGACCUCCUUUUCCUCUUGUCGCACGACCUCUAUCCUGCUAUCAGAACACGGACUCUCUCGUUCAUUUCCGAAGGCGCAAAAUACCACACAUCCGCUAUUGACUCAUUCGAGCGCAUUCUGCCUGUUCUGUCUCUUCCCUCCCUCUAAAAGUUGCCCUAUUUGACCGCUGGAACUUAUUGUGGACAUACGACGUUGGACGACGCUGCCAAUUGUUGCAUUCUUACCUUGCGUGAAUCAAUACCCUUGUUGGACUUGCUCAGCCGUGGUUGUGAUUCCGACAAGCCUCGAUUAGACCUGGGUGGUUAGCUGUGCAUUUUCAUAGCCUUAAUAUAGAUUUUGCCUAUGAUCCUCAGGGACUUGUCAACAACAAACAUGGGAAGAGGAGCAUAUGACACAACUGGCGUGCCUAAGCCGCAACCUCCCCCGAAACCGCGAUGACCUGCCAAUUUGGCAUCAAAGGAUGCGAUGUAUGGAGCCAACGGCAUAACCUACCACCUCCGUGAGUGCCCAAUCAGGGUAUACUCCAGGCGGCAUACGUACAAAUAUUUGAUGGAGAAAAUUCACCUCUAUCUCAUCGUUUCAUCCUCUACCAAGCCUCAUUACCAUCGAACAACCCACCCAUUCCAAAAUGAAAAAAAUCAGAAAAUACUUUCGACUUCUCCGUUCUUCAUGCACAGUACCGGUGCAUGGUCAAGAGCAUACGAUUGACAUUCAACCAAAUAUACUAUUUUUCCUAAUAUUAACCGGAGACCGGUCUGUACCACCACCAUUAUGACGUUUUGAUACCUCUCGCUAUCGUCGAUUCCCCUUAUUUGCGAACUUGUUAGCGUUUUGUACGGCAUACCCGUUUCCGCAAUUUUUCGAUGUACCAGUGGGAAUAAUCUACAUUUCCGCUUCCAUUUCCUUGAGUCCCCAAAAGCGCGACACUAAAUUUUUUUUCCCUUUUAUUUUCCCUAAUUACAUUUUAAUAUUGUUCCCUAUUUUUUAUUUCUUAAUUUCUUUUACUGUUCGUUUUGAUUUUAUGGCGUUACCAAAAAAAUUAUAGACAGGAGACUUUCCUUACGGCUAUGAGAGAUAUACUACAAGACCUAGAUUUUCGACUUCGCGGUCCUAUCGUUCUUUUUGUGUUUCAUACCCCUUUAUAUAUUUUCCUUUUAAGCCUGUUCGUCAUGUUAGUUUUUAAUUGGGCUUUGGUUUUCUCCUUUUAGAUCUAUACCAAUCUCGCGUGUACAACUACUAUUCUAUUAUGGCGAACACAGUUUUUGACUUUUGCAACGCAUUCUUUUUUGCGCUAAUCAAUGACAGCUAGACCUGACAACAUACAUAACCCAAUAAUCAUAGUUAAUUAUCAGGGUGGUGCCAGGGACAUAGUUACGCAUCGUUGGUCAAAAUUCAUGGUGGAUGUAUUUUGACUUUUGGACUUUGCAUGUGAAAGUCUGCGUGCUGUACGUUCCUGGAUUCAAGUUCUGAAGAGGAGCUCUUGAUUCGUUUCUUUGCUCUGUUGACUUGUCCUGUACAUGUGCUAUCUGUUAUUCAUCGGCUGCUUCCCUUACACCCCUUUUAUGGCUUACUCUCCGAGACACGUAUCACUGUUCCUCCCAUUUGCUUGACUUGUCUACUUGGGGUUUUUCCAAACAUCCGCCUAUGGGAGCCGGCCUGCUGUUUUCAUCCUCUUGUGUGCGAGAUGCUUUCCAUAGCACAGCCCAAACCCUAUCUUAUUCCUAUUGGUUUUGACCGGGACCCAUGUCCCUUUUCGUGUUGCUUCUCAAAUUGCAGUCUGUCCAGAUAUCGCUUUCCCGCUUUUGCCGUGGAUAUCUGCCUUGCACUAACUUGCUCCUCUUGAUCCGCCCAUUGAACGGACCACUUCUCGCAGCUAUAGACCAAUCAAUUGUUUUGGUGAUAAACACCCCUACAGCCUCUGUUUUUUCCGUGGGUUUGCCACUGUGCCUUGCCUGACAACAAAUGAGACAGACCUACAACGGCGUGCCUGUUUUUAAACUACGUUUUUCCUUUCUCCUAUUGCAGUCGCUCUACGCUUAGGUCUUGUAUCUUCCAUUUUUAGAGCAACUGCAUAUAUGAGCGAAUCAUAUAUAUCUCGUCCCAAAGCAUGUCGUGUCACCAUCAAAAAGCGGGGAUUCUUCUUUUUUUUUUUAAGUUCCCAUCUUACUGUUUAUUUUAAUUUUGUUCUCCCGGGCAGGAUGUUGUAAAACAAAAGGAAAAAACGCGAUCAUGCAUAUAUGCAGGUAAACGUAUACCUCUCCCCUACGUACCUGGGUCUGGGUAUAUAAUUGCGGUGCUUUUAAGACAUGUGAAAUGAGAGGGAGAGAGAUGUGGGAUGUGGAACAAACGAGGUUUUAUCACGGCUCCCCCUGGAGUUCUCAAACCUCUCAAAUUCUCUCAUGUCUUGAGGGUUUUCUUCUUACUUCAGGGUGGAAGACACAUUUCGAAGUAAGAAAAUUAAAUAAAAUUAAAUAGAAAAGAAAUAAUCAUAAUAAUCAAAG
rnacentral:sRNA from 1 species